rnacentral:rRNA from 1 species
UACGUAGGUGGCAAGCGAUACUCGGAAUCACUAGGCGUAAAGCGCAGGUAGGCGGUUUGGUAAGUCUUUUGUGAAAGCUCCCGGCUUAACUGGGAGAGGUCAAGGGAAACUACUAGACUAGAGUGUGGUAGGGGAUACUGGAAUUCCUGGUGUAGCGGUGAAAUGCGUAGAUAUCAGGAGGAACAUCAGUGGCGAAGGCGGCCUUCUGGUCCAGUACUGACACUCAAGUGCGAAAGCGUGGGGAGCAAACAGG